rnacentral:rRNA from 1 species
AGCGAACGCUGGCGGCAGGCUUAACACAUGCAAGUCGAACGCCCCGCAAGGGGAGUGGCAGACGGGUGAGGAACACGUGGGAACAUACCUUUUGGUUCGGAAUAACUCAGGGAAACUUGAGCUAAUACCGGAUAAGCCCUAACGGGGAAGAUUUAUCGCCGAAAGAUUGGCCCGCGUCCGAUUAGCUAGUUGGUGAGGUAAUGGCUCACAAAGGCGACGAUCGGUAGCUGGUCUGAGAGGAUGAUCAGCCACACUGGGACUGAGACACGGCCCAGACUCCUACGGGAGGCAGCAGUGGGGAAUAUUGGACAAUGGGCGCAAGCCUGAUCCAGCCAUGCCGCGUGAGUGAUGAAGGCCCUAGGGUUGUAAAGACUCUUUCGACGGGGACGGAUAAUGACGGUACCCGGUAUAAGAAGACCCGGCUAACUCGUGCCAGCAGCCGCGGU